rnacentral:rRNA from 1 species
UCGACCGGCGCACGGGUGAGUAACGCGUAUCCAACCUGCCUCUGACUAAGGGAUAACCCGGCGAAAGUCGGACUAAUACCUUAUGAGGUUUUCAGCAGACAUCUAACGAAAACGAAAGAUUUAUCGGUCAGUGAUGGGGAUGCGUCUGAUUAGCUUGUUGGCGGGGUAACGGCCCACCAAGGCAACGAUCAGUAGGGGUUCUGAGAGGAAGGUCCCCCACAUUGGAACUGAGACACGGUCCAAACUCCUACGGGAGGCAGCAGUGAGGAAUAUUGGUCAAUGGGCGAGAGCCUGAACCAGCCAAGUAGCGUGCAGGAUGACGGCCCUAUGGGUUGUAAACUGCUUUUGUAUGGGGAUAAAGUCAAUCACGUGUGAUUGUUUGCAGGUACCAUACGAAUAAGGACCGGCUAAUUCCGUGCCAGCAGCCGCGGUAAUACGGAAGGUCCGGGCGUUAUCCGGAUUUAUUGGGUUUAAAGGGAGCGUAGGCUGGAGAUUAAGUGUGUUGUGAAAUGUAGACGCUCAACGUCUGACUUGCAGCGCAUACUGGUUUCCUUGAGUACGCACAACGUUGGCGGAAUUCGUCGUGUAGCGGUGAAAUGCUUAGAUAUGACGAAGAACUCCGAUUGCGAAGGCAGCUGACGGGAGCGCAACUGACGCUGAAGCUCGAAGGUGCGGGUAUCGAACAGGAUUAGAUACCCUGGUAGUCCGCACAGUAAACGA